UACGUAGGGUGCAAGCGUUGUCCGGAAUUAUUGGGCGUAAAGAGCUCGUAGGCGGUUUGUCGCGUCUGCUGUGAAAACUCGGGGCUUAACUCCGGGCCUGCAGUGGAGACGGGCAGACUAGAGUGCGGUAGGGGAGACUGGAAUUCCUGGUGUAGCGGUGAAAUGCGCAGAUAUCAGGAGGAACACCGGUGGCGAAGGCGGGUCUCUGGGCCGUAACUGACGCUGAGGAGCGAAAGCGUGGGGGAGCGAACAGG
rnacentral:rRNA from 1 species